AACAUUUCUAAGUUUGUUUUCUCUUGUGUAAAAUUUGGGAAAUUAACUUUCACACAGAGAUUCUGUGAGACCUAAAUGAAAGGAUGUAUUUGAAGCCAGUCCUUUAUCAGACAGCAUAUAGUAAAUACUCAACAAAUAUUAACUUUUUCUUUUUUCUCAUCCAUAUUAAGGUAUAUAGAAACCUUUUGUAAAUUACAAAGUGGCAUACAAAUAAUUGUUUUAAAAAAUUAGUGAUAAAUAAAAUUUGUUGACUGAUGAUUUGCAAAGCAGAUUCCUUCCUAACAAUUAAUUUCAAGAAGUAGAAAGUAUUUUUGUACCAUAAGUUAAAUUAAUGGUUUUAGUGCAAUGAUUUUUAACUGGGAGCAAUUCGGCCUCCCAAGGGUCAUUUGGCAAUGUCUGGGGACAUUUCAAUAAUCAUAGCUUGGGGAAUUCUACUGUCCUCUAAUAAGGACAGGACAGAGACGCUGUUAAAUAUCCUACAAUACACAGGACAGGCUCCCACAACAAAGAAUUAUCCAGUUCAAAAUGUGAAUGGCCCCACUGUUGAGAAACAGUUUUGGUGGCAAGGCAAGAUAAUCCGGUUAGUCUUGAUAUCAAUAUUGUUGAGUGCCUACACACACAUCAACAUCUCUUAACCUUAAAGGUCCCCUCCUUAGCCUGUGAACCCUCAAAAAGAAUGAGAAAAUUCACUUCUAAGGUGACCCUGUUCUUAGAUGUUCAGGAAUACCAACCAUGAGCUAGUACUAUCAAUGCAAAGCUUGUGUACUGCCCCAGGAAAGUCGAGAGAACUCUCUCACUAGAACUCUCCUCCACACCCCAUUAAAAGGUGCAUUAUAUUUUGUACAGUGUUACCACGUUUAAAACCUGUACAGUCCUGCCUGUCUUAAGCAGUAAAUCAAAUUCCACAGUACUGAGCUCAUUUUAUGAUUCAACAAUGUGAAUGGAGCUUUUUCCGGUAGAGAAGGUAAUUGCUUCAGAAUAAGAACCUGCCUUCACAGCAAUCCUGAAUCUUAAUUUUAGAAAUCAGAAUGAGAUGAUUCAAAGCUAGCGAGAAGAUUGUUCGGAAUCAUUUCUGUUAUUGCUAAGUAAAUAUUCUUCCCGGCUAUGAAUCUAACAGAAAGUGGAGCUAGUAACCUGGGGCAACGAAGCUAUUGGUAUUGUGCUGUUCAGCUUCUUCAUCUCCCACCGUCCAUGCUACUCCUGCUGCGGUCUUAUCCCUGGCUCCAUGAUAGAACCAGAGGUCCUACAACAAAGUCAGAGCUGGGUCAAGGGCAAAGGAUGCUGGGAAAGCUGUGUGUAACAAGCAGCAGAGUUGCUCUAGAAUGCGGAAUGCAAAAGAAAACUGGAGAUACUGACCUGUUAUAACCUGACCUGCAGACUCUAGAAAAGGUGCAGGAAUCCUUGACUUAGCCUGCUGGUAUUCUCCAAAUCAAAAAGUAUCUGCCCUGCAGAAAUGCCUAUGGGAAAUCAUUCAUUUCCUAAAAACUCAUUUUUAUAAUGUAAUUAGUCAUCCUGGACAGAUUUUUCAAAAUUAGCCAUUAUUUGUUGUUGCCUAAUUUCACCUAUUACUCUAAUUUAAAUCACAUCACUGUGAUUUAAUGUGCUUUUCUUCAGGAUUAUUAUUUUAAACAUUUGAAGUCAGCCUGUUCCAAAUUAGCAAUGUCAUGACCUGAAUGAAUGUUCUUAUUUCCUCCGUUAACUCUCUUAGCUAUUCAUUCUUCCUUGAAAGGAUCUUUCAGUUCCCUCAACUUCCUCUUAUUUGAAUUCUCACUGUAAUUGUGUUCAUACAGAACAUAAGGAUCUUUUUUCCCUUUCUGAGAAGGUAGAGCCAUCCUUGUUCCAGUUAUAGGAAGCUUUAAUGAGGAUUUUAGUGUGUGUAUGUAGGGAGGUAAUUUUAUUUUUAUUUUUUAUUCUUAGAGGAGUUAAAAAUUUGACAACCAACUCUUAGUAUUACUAAAACUUAGACAUCUUUUUAAAAAUCAGUCUCUCGAUCGCACAGAAACAUACAUAUAUAGCUACAAAAUUGUAGCUUGUCUCUAGAACUGUGAAGGACAAAACCAAGAAUGAAGUAUUCAUAUAGCAGAGGAUGGGCCCUGAAUUCAGAAUAUAUAUCUUGUAACUUCUGUAAACAAAACCCAAAAUUAUACUGUUAUUCCUUUUUGCUACUGUACUUUGAAAAUUCGUAACUUCAAAGGCAUAGUAAAACUCUGAGUGAGCA